UUCAAACACCUGUUCUAGUAAGAUCACCGAAGUUAAGCAUCCUCGAGCCUGGUUAGUAUCUAGAUGGGUGAACGGUUGGGAAUGCCAAGUGCUAUA